AGAAAUGCCAGAAUCUCGUUUU
rnacentral:siRNA from 1 species